ensembl:lncRNA
CUAACGGAGCUUAACCUUCAGUCCUCUCAUUUGACAUGGGCUUCUGCAAGUACUGGGAAUUGUUGGAGGAUGUUCAGUAUUCUAGGUGGUGAGAGGGAAACCAAGUUAGCAUUAGGAAAUAGGUAAGCAUGAAUGGAAGAUUACCUGAAGGAGUAUCAGAAGAGACUUGAAUCACUGACUUCAUGGAUCCCCCAAAUUACAUAAGCACCACAAAACCAGCAUCUGCCAAAGUAGAUCACUCAGCUUUUCAGGAAGCAAACAGUAGAGGAGUUUGUUUGCAAUCAAGUAUUUUCUUCAAAGUAGGAUAUCCAGACCCUGCAUGACCACUCUUGAAUCAGAAAUCAUUUAUCCUAGCAACAUUUCCAUGUCUAAGCCACUUCCAGAGUUAUUGCCACAGCCAACAGGUCAUUGUUUCCAUCCCUCUGGCAUCCUGAACUCCAGAGGAGGAGUGGGGAAGGAGUCAGUUGCUCAAGAAUCUCUCAGGUGAGAAAGGGAUUCAUAAAAUGAGAGGUAAAAGGGCAGAACCAGAGACAUGCUUAGCAAGAGCUCCAGGUGGAGAAAAUUAAGGUAAGCCUUUUCUGGAUGUCCUCUGAGCAUGUGAAAAACGGAGGAGCAAAGAAAAUAAAAGAUCAAAUUCUCCUGGCCCAUCCAAGGUAAGCUAUAGGGUAUUCAGAAUACUAUGAUGUGUAUUCAUGUUCUGACCUCCAAUAAGGAAAUUUUGAUUACCUUGAUAGUUGGUGGAAAAGUAGAAUUGACAAAAAAUGGAUGGAUACAUAUAAGUUUUUGAGGACUCCUAACUUUGAGAUGGAGGGAAAUAAAGCAUAUCGAAAUAGGCAAUUUAGCAGUCCUGACCUCAUAGCAUUGCUAGUUAUUUUUUCAGCCAAACACAGAAGGUACUUACAAAAGAGAAGGGAAUGAUAAUUUAGAAAGUUUAUGUGGAUAAGGAGCUCAGAUAACUGGAGAGUAUAGACAGCAAACUGAAAUAGAAGAAAAAGAAUAAAGCAGUGGAUGAUAGGUGAAAAUUAUAUACGUAAUGGGUAACUUAGAUUGAUAAUUGAGGAUGGAUGGAGUGUUGAUGGAAAAACUGUACAGAAAUUUUUAAUUUGAAUAGAUUCACAGAUAGAUAAAAGGAUGGGUAAUAUAUUUAUUAAAUUAUAUCUGCAACAAAUCAUUUUUAUUUCCUGUUUAACAGACAAAAAAGAAAAUUGCUUUGAUGGAGUCCAAUUGCUAAGUGGCAGAUUACAGCUUUUCUAUAUUGUUAUGAAAAAUGGGGUUUCCAGAAAUUUCUAUGUUUGUCUUCAAAGAGAGCUGCAGCUUCGUGAUGAAAAGCCCCCUCUAACAUUGGACACGUGUUCUGCUGGAGGCCGCUCUAAAUCAUGGAAGCAAAUCCAUCCAAUGGGAGAAAUCUGCCUUAACAUCCCAGAAACAUUUCCACCUGUAAAUUCUGAGAUCUUAAAAUUAGAAUCUGCCUCCAAUUAUGACUUGACAGUACAUACAAGUUCCAGGAGAGCCCCAGCAAAGCAUGCAAUAACUGCAAUGGUGUAAACUGCUGAGACUUCCCCUGGUCGUUGAACUGUUCCUUGUGUAAAAUGAUUUCAAGGAAUAUUGUCGUUAAUUGAUCUCUUCUGGAAGCCUCUGAUUUGCAUCUGAUUCAAUCUUCAUGUUGGUUCCCCACACUCCAGCUCUAUCAGAGUUCUCAGAAAGUGUGAGAGCAAGCCCCUCGAGGUCAAAUUCAGGAGACACUAGGGAAGAGAGGGUUGCUGAAGAAUUCUGUGGUGCUGGAGAACGGCACAGGCUUGGGGAAGCCAGCUGCCAUCCCAUGAGGCAGCGCGGAGGAGAAUGCCGCCAACAGCCAUGUGAGUGAUGUUGGAAGCAGAUUCUCCCAGUUGAGACGUGAGAUGAGAGCAACCCUGGCCGACACCUUGACUGAAGCCUCAUGAAAGACCUUGAAUGAGAACCACCUGGCUAAGCUGCUUCUGAAAUCCUGACCCACAGAAACUACACAAUAAGAAAUGUUAUUGCUUUCAGUUUUUAGGUUUUGGAAUAACUUUGGUAUACAGCAAUAGAUAACUGAAACAUAUCACAACAUAUUACACAUCAGAGACGGGGCUAAGCAAAUGAGAUCAUUUGCUUUUCACAACAACCCCACAAAAUAAGUACUGUUAUUAUCACCCUUUUAUAUAUUAGGAAGCUGAAGUACAAGGAAAUAAAAUAGUCAAGUGUGGCCUAUCUGGCUUAUGAAUGGAGUACCUGGGGAUUUAUCAAAGAAUCUCUAAAUACGGGGUCUAGCACGUAGUAUAUGGUGCUGAAUCUGUGUUGAUUGAUUCAACAUGAUCAUGUCCAAAAAACUGCAAUAAGAGAACAAAAACACAAGUUCUAUUAUUUACGUUCAACCAGAGCAGACAUGAGUUCCCCAUGAAGACUUAAUAUACCUCUUUUAAUGCAGAGUUCACGUGAGGCUUCUGGUUUUCUUCUCUCUAUGAUUAAUGCCUCUAGGAUCACGAUUCCCCACACUCAAGAGGUAAGACAAACCUGGCAGAGAUCCAAUAGUCUCUGUCAUUUACUAUGCCUGUCUGUAGACAUGGGGUCAUGGUCUAAGAGUCGUGAGCUGAAGGCAGCCUUACUUCCUUGACUCCUUAACCUGUUAGUCCCUGCUUGUUCUUCCAAAUUCUGCAUCCUUUAUCUUUCCAUUGUUUGGGACACACAAUUCCCCUUAUAAGUCCAGUCCCUUAGUUCCCAAUCAUGACCUGAGCCAGGGUGCUUUGAGAAAGUUCUGACUCCAUGAACUUGGGCUUAUCAACAUGGUUAGUUGCCAAAGCCCAAGUAAACAUGUGCUAGAGCCUUGUAAUUGGCCUCCACCCAAAUCCCAAGGCUUUCUCUCCAUCUGGUUACUUUUAAUAACGGCUGGAAUCUAAAAAGACAAAAGAAAAAUUCUAUAUCCUCUCUAUUUACACAUUAUUUCUUAAGUUGUGGCCCCAUUUUGGCCAUGCUAGUCCACAUCUAGAAAUAAGAGACCUGUGUUCUGACCUUUUACCAUAUCUUAUGGCCAGGGCACCAGCUUAGUGAUAAAUACUUUUUCACAUUGACAGCCCACCUACUUACCUGCUAAGACUCCCAAACAUAGCCUCCUCAUUGCUGUGUUUUUCCUACAACUGUGUGAUGCUUUACUUCAUCUUAAAUCUCCAUCAUCUUCUACUUGCUUAAACAAUGUUAAUAUAAAACCCCUUGGACACUGUACUGUACCCAACACCAGAACAUUCUUUCAAUCCUGUCUGGAACAAGUAUGUAAGAUGGAUGAUUCUUGGUAUUAAUGUUAUCAUUAGUAAAAAGAAUAUGAAAAUAUUUUGUUUAUUAAAUGCCAGGAACUGUG